rnacentral:rRNA from 1 species
UCGAGAAUUUUUCUCAAUGGGCGAAAGCCUGAAGGAGCGACGCCGCGUGGGGGAUGAAGGGCUUCGGCCCGUAAACCCCUGUCAUUUGCGAACAAACCUUGUCCGUUAACAGUAGGCAAGUUGAUUGUAGUGAAAGAGGAAGGGACGGCUAACUCUGUGCCAGCAGCCGCGGUAAUACAGAGGUCCCGAGCGUUGUUCGGAUUCACUGGGCGUAAAGGGUGCGCAGGUGGGUUUGCAAGUUUGAUGUGAAAGCCCCGGGCUUAACCCGGGAAUGGCAUUGAAUACUGCAGAUCUGGAGGAUUGGAGGGGGGACUGGAAUUCUUGGUGUAGCAGUGAAAUGCGUAGAUAUCAAGAGGAACACCAGUGGCGAAGGCGAGUCCCUGGACAAUACCUGACACUGAGGCACGAAAGCCAAGGGAGCAAACAG